CUCUCACACUCUCUCUAUCCCGCUCCUGUCUGUCUCUCCAUCUUGUCUGUCUCUCCCUCUCUUGUCAGUCUUUCCCUCUCCUGUCUCUCCCACUCUUGUCUGUCUGUGCCUCAAUCGUGCCUGUCCUCUUGUGUCUGUCUUCUUCUUGUGCCUGUCUCACUCUCUCAUCUGUCCCACUCAUGUCUGUUUCCCUCUCACCUCUCUUCCUCUCUCAUGUCUGUCUCUCGGCCUGAGCCCAAGUUACCAUGGCAAUGACAAGCCCCUCAACAAUUAUGUGACAUUUAAGUGACUAACUGUCCGGUCAGCUGAGGCUCCGCCCCCUGUGGCUUCACGCUGGGGGCCAUUCUGCCUUCACUGGAGAGUUGGAGGGUCGCCUUCAUUAUUGCCAGGCUACAGGGCUCACAGAAUCACACCGGCUUCACAUUUGAGAUCAGCCAUGUUCUGGAAAACAGCUGCCUUGUUCUGGAACCAGGACAAUCAGGACAGUGGCAUCUGGCUUGAUCCAGAGAUAUGGAAAACUUCAUUCCCCAAACGAGAGCAGGCCAAAAUCCCCACCCCAGGGGCCACUAAACCACACAGCACCAAGGCCAUUACCAGGGCCGGCACUAUGUGGAAGGGAACCACUGACGCUCCAAACUGCUCAAACAGCAUGUUGACGCAGGUCCACAUCUGCCGGGGAGAGGCCGGUUUCGGGUUCACCAUCUUCUGCGAUUCCCCUGUCAGAGUGCAGUCUGUCGAUGUUGGUGGGCCAGCUGGACAUUCAGGUCUCCAGCAGGGGGAUGUCAUACUACAGCUGAAUGGACUUCUUGUGGACUUCUGGAGCUCCACAGAUCUGGCCAGAACCAUCAGGUCGUGCCCAUCUCAGGUCCACCUGGUCGUACAGAGAGGUACCUGCGAGCAGCCCAGUGUUGAAGGCGGAGAGAUGGCAGCUGGGCUGAGCAACUUCAUGACCGACGGUCAGUGCCAUUCUCUGCCCAGAACCAUUCGGCACUGGCCCAAAGCUCCUGCCAGUGCUUGCUGCAGCGCCAUCACAUGUCUCCCUGCAGAUUACGUCACCAAGCCACCUAACUGCCUCUGCUUACACACCUUCAUCCAGACACAUGCACCCUGCGCAAAUGGGUCAGGCGACCACGCCCCCUCUCUCUGAACUGUCUGCCCACCCCUACUCCAUUCUCAUCAUCUUCACCUCACACCUCCAGGAAGGAGGGACACGUGCUCUCUCCUGGCCCCUUCUCCACCACCACUGACUGAUGGAGGAGCACAAGUCAGCUGCCAAAGCUCAGUUGGUGGAAUGACAACUGGCAUCGAAUCCCCAAGUCUCUUUUUCUUUUGCAGUCUCUUGUAACAUGUAGUGCUUUAACCCGCAGUGCUGUAUGUAUGUCAUUGCUCUGUCCUCAUGGGUGGCACAUUUAUCUAACGCAGAGAGAAAUAAAUCAGAU